GGGGCUGUGGCUCAGUGGUAGAGCAUCUGCUUUUCAUGCAGAAGGUCCCAGGUUCAAUUCCCAGCAUCUUCA